rnacentral:rRNA from 1 species
AAUAGAUACCCCGGUAGUCCACGCCGUAAACGGUGGGCACUAGGUGUGGGCAGCAUUCCACGUUGUCCGUGCCGCAGCUAACGCAUUAAGUGCCCCGCCUGGGGAGUACGGCCGCAAGGCUAAAACUCAAAGGAAUUGACAGGGGCCCGCACAAGCGGCGGAGCAUGUGGCUUAAUUCGACGCAACGCGAAGAACCUUACCAAGGCUUGACAUACACCGGAAACAUCCAGAGAUGGGUGCCCCCUUGUGGUCGGUGUACAGGUGGUGCAUGGCUGUCGUCAGCUCGUGUCGUGAGAUGUUGGGUUAAGUCCCGCAACGAGCGCAACCCUUGUCCCGUGUUGCCAGCAGGCCCUUGUGGUGCUGGGGACUCACGGGAGACCGCCGGGGUCAACUCGGAGGAAGGUGGGGACGACGUCAAGUCAUCAUGCCCCUUAUGUCUUGGGCUGCACACGUGCUACAAUGGCCGGUACAAUGAGCUGCGAUACCGCGAGGUGGAGCGAAUCUCAAAAAGCCGGUCUCAGUUCGGAUUGGGGUC